AUCAGCCAAAAGGGAAGCUUGAACUUGAAGGUCACAAACAUGUGCAAGAUUGCAGAUCCACGUUGCCUCGUCUGAAGUCAUGUCCUGUGCAGUGAGCAUGAGAAAAUCAACCCUACUUUACCCUAGACUAGAAAAAAGACUGGAGGUCAGAAUGCAGGAUGAUUGAGCAAGGAGUGCUGGCAGAUGGACUAUUGAGGUCAACAAAAAAUUUGGACUUUCAUCAGGUGGACACAUGUUCAGCAAGAAAUUCUCACAUCAAAUGAAUGAUGGCUGUCUGUGGAAAAGAGAUUUUCUCAGAAUAUAUCACAGAUCAGAA